GAUGAACGCUGGCGGCGUGCUUAACACAUGCAAGUCGAACGGGAAACCUUUUAUUGAAGCUUCGGCAGAUUUAGCUGGUUUCUAGUGGCGGACGGGUGAGUAACGCGUGGGUAACCUGCCUUAUACAGGGGGAUAACAACCAGAAAUGGUUGCUAAUACCGCAUAAGCGCACAGGACCGCAUGGUCCGGUGUGAAAAACUCCGGUGGUAUAAGAUGGACCCGCGUUGGAUUAGCUAGUUGGCAGGGUAACGGCCUACCAAGGCGACGAUCCAUAGCCGGCCUGAGAGGGUGAACGGCCACAUUGGGACUGAGACACGGCCCAGACUCCUACGGGAGGCAGCAGUGGGGAAUAUUGCACAAUGGGGGAAACCCUGAUGCAGCGACGCCGCGUGAAGGAAGAAGUAUCUCGGUAUGUAAACUUCUAUCAGCAGGGAAGAUAGUGACGGUACCUGACUAAGAGGCCCCGGCUAACUACGUG
rnacentral:rRNA from 1 species